ACUUUAGCUCAGUCGGUAGAGCAACGCAUUCGUAACGCGUAGGUCGUGGGUUCGAAUCCCAU
rnacentral:tRNA from 1 species